rnacentral:lncRNA from 1 species
UCAUGCUUAACAAUGACCUUACUCAUCCUCAAAAAAUUAUAAGCCUUAUUUUAUCUACAUGCAAGCUAUCUUAAGUGAGUUAUAAGCCUAACCCAUGCAUUAUACCUAUAUGCAAGCUAUGCAUGCACAGUUAGAAGCCUUAUUUUAUCUACCAAGCUAAGAUAUGGGACCAUAGUGGCAUAUUAAUAAGCAUAAAUAAUUGGAUAAACAAUUAGGCAAACCACUAACUGAAUAUUAUAAGAGCCUACUUU